rnacentral:tRNA from 1 species
UGCAUCGGCUAGGGAAUCGAACCCGGGCCGCCUGCGUGGCAGGCGAGCAUUCUACCACUGAACCACCGAUGG